GGGAUCUUAGCUCAGUUGGGAGAGCAUCUGCCUUACAAGCAGAGGGUCAUAGGUUCGAGCCCUAUAGGUCCCA
rnacentral:tRNA from 1 species